AUCCAGGUCUUAAGUUGUUGUUUUUUUUCAAUUCUUUAAGCCAUUUGAAUGAGUUGAAUCAAGAUUUAUUGGAUGUUUGUCCAAUUUAUAUUGUAUAAAUAUCAACUUUGAAUCCCAGAGAUGGUGUCUCCAAGGAAUGUUUUUGAUGUCUCUACUCGCCUGAUGAAGAGUCUCAAUAACGAAAUAAAACCGAAUGAAUCAAAUAAUCGUAAUAUAAUCUUGAUACAUUUUAAGUAUUAUCUUCAAUCAAACAACAUAUAGUUAGCUCGUAUGGCACUCACCUAGUAAUUUAUUUAUUUUUGUAAAAAUUCCAGAUUUUUGAGAGAGUAAUAUUCUAGUAUACUAACAAGCCAUUUAGCUGCUUAAGAGAUGAUUUCUGAGUCAAUAAGAUUGGAAAUUGCAACAAUAUUCAAAUAUUCCAAUAAAAUCUACAGAAGUUACCUAUAUUUUUUUAACACAUAAUCAGUCCCAAGGACUAUUUACAAGCAAUAGCAGAAUAGAAUAUUCUUUGCAGACAAAAAUAUCAAGAAAAGAGAGGCACAUUAUCUUUAAAGUCUAUAAUAAUCUUCUACUUGUUUUCGAAUCACAAAAGAGACUCACAACUAAUAAAUAAAUCACUAAUCAGGGGUGAGACUUAAAGUGUACAAAAUUUUCUUAGAGUAGAAGACGAAGCAAAGUUGAGAAAGGAGAAAUGGACUCAAGAACUUCAAUUAAUGGGGGAUGAGAACUAUCGAUGUUCCUCACUAGAUCUUUCAGUCAAUUAUUCUUUCGUUUAAUUACUAGUCAAACUUAAAUCAAUGUUGGAGGAUAGUGUAGAGAAGUAUAUGUGGCUAUUAUAUUAAGUAAUUAUCAAGGUAUUGAGAAACUUCAUAUUGAUUUUUUAAGUAAAAGUAGAGGCCGGUAGUGUAGUCAAGUCCACCUUUUUCUAAUCUCUAAGCCUUUGAUUCCAAUUGCUUCCGAGUCCGAGACGAGUCCAUGAAAAAUUAUUUGAAUCAAUACUCAAGUCCAAAUCUGGAACCGAGAACUAAAGCUCUGCUAGAGACUAAGAGCCUUAGAAUCCGAAAUAGGGAACAACAGCCUCCUUCAUUAGAGACUCAAACUCCACUAUUAUUUAUUUAAUCACAUCUUCUUCAUAAUAUCAAGGUAAGAUUAAUUUGAUCAUAGUCUCGAGCAAUCGAUGAGGGAUACUCAAGAAUUUUCUAUUCAAAAUUAUCUGAUCAUUAAAUGACUUCAUUGUAUAUAUCGCUAGCUAUGACACAAUUAUUUCUUGAAUAGAUUUAUCUCGUGCCUGAAAAGCAAAACUUAAAAGGCUUAAAUUGUUUUGAAGUAAUAAAAAUAAUUUUUUGUCACGGAAGAAGUCUAAAAAACCUUGAAAGUCUGCAAUCAUAUUAGUCUGUUACUAAUAAAAUUUGU
rnacentral:lncRNA from 1 species